CGUUUAUAGAUUUAGAAAAAGCUUUCGAUAAGGUACCAUGGAAAGGUCUAUUCUAUACUUUAGAAGGAAUAGGAGCUGACUACAAAGAUAGAAGGAUAAUAUAUAAUUUAUACAAAGACCAAUCAGCUAUAAUAAAAGUUACAGACAAAACAGAUACGGCGAUAAUUAGGAAGGGUGUAAGACAAGGAUGUCCACUCUCACCAGCUUUAUUUAAUAUUUACGUCGAACAGCCUAUCAAAGAAAUUAGAGAAACAAUUCUCAGAAAUAAAAUAGGCAUAAAAGUGGGUGGAGAAAUAAUAUCCUUCUUAAGAUUCGCUGAC